rnacentral:rRNA from 1 species
UGCCAGCAGUCGCGGUUACACCAGGAAAUUAAGUCAUAUUUAUCGGUAAAAAGACAGUUAGACAAUAAAAGAGUCAUGGAAUUUUCAAUAUAGGGGUGCAAUCCGAAUAUUGAUAAAUAAUUUAGUUAUGGCUACUUGGUUGAAUCUGUGAUAGCUUUAAGGGAAACUGGGAUUUGAUACCCCAUUAUUUUUAGUUGUAAAUUCAAUUUUAUAUAAUUUACCAGAGUACUACGAACAUUAAAGUUUAAAACUCAAAGGGCUUGGCGGUGUUUUAGACCACUCAGGGGAACCUGUCUCAUAAUCGAUGAUCCACGUUAAACCUGACCUUUUUUUGCGUUCAGCUUGUAUACCGUCGUCGUCAGGUAACUUCUAAAAAACUAAAAGUUAGCGAAAGAAUUUGUAAAUUACAAUGUCAGAUCAGGGUGCAGCUUAUAAAAAGGGGAGGAUGGGUUACAAUUAUAAAUCUUAAUUACGGAAGACCAUUAGAAUUAAUCGGCCUGAAGGAGGACUUGAAAGUAAUUUUAAAUAUACAAAUUGCAUGAAUAAGGCUCUGAAAUGUGCACACAUCGCCCGCCGCUCU